rnacentral:tRNA from 1 species
GCUUGUAGCUCAGCGGAUAGAGCGUCUGCCUCCGGAGCAGAAGGCCGUGGGUUCAAAUCCCAUCAAGCC